rnacentral:rRNA from 1 species
AUUGAACGCUGGCGGCAGGCCUAACACAUGCAAGUCGAACGAGUGGCGGACGGGUGAGUAAUGUAUGGGAAACUGCCCGAUGGAGGGGGAUAACUACUGGAAACGGUAGCUAAUACCGCAUACCAUCGGAUGUGCCCAGAUGGGGUUAGCUAGUAGGUGGGGUACAGGCUCACCUAGGCGACGAUCCCUAGCUGGUCUGAGAUGAUGACCAGACACACUGGAACUGAGACACGGUCCAGACUCCUACGGGAGGCAGCAGUGGGGAAUAUUGCACAAUGGGCGCAAGCCUGAUGCAGCCAGGCCGCGGGUAUGAAGAAGGCCUUAGGGUUGUAAAGUACUUUCAGCGAGGAGGCGUUACCCGCAGAAGAAGCACCGGCUAACUCCGUGCCAGCCGCCGCGGUAAUAC